rnacentral:rRNA from 1 species
GCCAAACAACUAGCUUAAUUACUUCUUAAACUAAUAAUAUAAAUAAAACAAAAUAACAUACAAACCAAAAAUAAACCAUUUUUUUACCUGAGUAUGGGUGACAGAAAAGGCCCUAAUAAAGCAAUAGAAAUAGUACCGCAAGGGAAAGUUGAAAGAGAAAUGAAAUAAACCAUACAAGCACCAAAAAGCAAAGACUAAACCUUGUACCUUUUGCAUCAUGAUUUAGCCAGUACACCCAAGCAAAGAGACCUUUAGUUUGAAGCCCCGAAACCAGGUGAGCUACCCCGAGACAGCCUAUUAAGGGCCAACCCGUCUCUGUGGCAAAAGAGUGAGAAGAGCUCCGGGUAGAGGUGACAGACCUACCGAACCUGGUGAUAGCUGGUUGCCUAAGAAAUGAAUAAAAGUUCAGCCUCAUCAACCUCAAAUCAAAAAUAACAAACAAGAUCAAACGAGAAACACAUGAGAGUUAGUUAAAGGGGGUACAGCCCCUCUAACUAAGGACACAACCUUUUCAGGAGGAUAAAAAUCAUAAUACACAAAAUACACUGUUCUAGUGGGCCUAAAAGCAGCCACCUAAACAGAAAGCGUUAAAGCUCAGACAGAAACAAAUUUAUUAUCCCGAUAACAAAUCUCAAUCCCCUAACACUAUUAGGCCAACCCAUGCCCGCAUGGAAGAGAUUAUGCUAAAAUGAGUAACAAGAAGGCCCGCCCUUCUCCCUAGCACAAGUGUAAGCCAAACCGGACAAACCAUUGGCAACUAACGAACUCAAUAAAAGAGAGAAAUGUGAAUUAUAAAUAUAGACCAAGAAAUACCCACAAUAUCAACAUCGUUACCCCCACACUGGAGUGCUAUUUUUAAAGGAAAGACUAAAAGAAGAGGAAGGAACUCGGCAAACAAAAGCCUCGCCUGUUUACCAAAAACAUCGCCUCCUGCAAUAUAAAUAAGUAUAGGAGGUCCAGCCUGCCCAGUGACCACAAGUUUAACGGCCGCGGUAUUUUGACCGUGCAAAGGUAGCGCAAUCACUUGUCUUUUAAAUAAAGACCCGUAUGAAUGGUUAAACGAGGGCUUAGCUGUCUCCCACUUCCAGUCAGUGAAAUUGAUCUACCCGUGCAGAAGCGGGUAUAAUUAUACAAGACGAGAAGACCCUUUGGAGCUUAAGGUACAAAACUCAAUCACGUCAAACAACUCAAUAAAAAGCAACUUUUAACUCUUAAACUUUGUGACAAAUGAGACCAUACCUUCGGUUGGGGCGACCAAGGAGGAAAAAAAAGCCUCCAAGUGGACUGGGCAUAUACCCUAAAACCAAGAGAGACAUCUCUAAGCCACAGAACAUCUGACCAUAAAUGAUCCGGUCGACUAAGACCGAUCAACGAACCAAGUUACCCUAGGGAUAACAGCGCAAUCCUCUCCCAGAGUCCAUAUCGACGAGGGGGUUUACGACCUCGAUGUUGGAUCAGGACAUCCUAAUGGUGCAGCCGCUAUUAAGGGUUCGUUUGUUCAACGAUUAAAGUCCUACGUGAUCUGAGUUCAGACCGGAGCAAUCCAGGUCAGUUUCUAUCUGUAACGCUACUUUUCCUAGUACGAAAGGAUCGGAAAAGAGGGGCCAAUGCUCAAAGCACGCCCCCCCCCUAAUUUAUGAAAACAAAUAAAUAUAAACAAAGGGAGGGCCAAAACCCAGCCCGCCAAAAUAAGGACUU